GAUUAGUGUGGUGUAGUGGUUUGAACACUGGACUAUGACUUUGGAGACCAGGGUUCAAAUCCCCGCUCAGCCA
rnacentral:tRNA from 1 species